AUAUCCUUAAUUUAAUGGAAAAAUAUUAAAAUACGAAUUUAAUUAUAUAGGUUCAAAUCCUAUAGGAUAUA
rnacentral:tRNA from 1 species